UUUCCCUCAGGAUAGCUGGCGCUCGAUGGGAGAGCAGUCACACCUGGUAAAGCGAAUGAUUAGAGGCAUUGGGGUCGAAACGUCCUCAACCUAUUCUCAAACUUAGCGUUACAGCAAUCAUUUAGCGUUACAGCAAUCUUAGCGUUA
rnacentral:rRNA from 1 species